rnacentral:rRNA from 1 species
UACGCAGGGUGCAAACGUUGCUCGGAAUUAUUGGGCGUAAAGCGCACGUAGGCGGCUUGGCAAGUCGGAUGUGAAAUCCCUCGGCUCAACCAAGGAAGUGCAUCCGAAACUGCUGAGCUUGAGUACUUAAGAGGAUCGCGGAAUUCCCGGUGUAGAGGUGAAAUGCGUAGAUAUCGCUUGGAACGCCGACGGCGAAAGCAGUCUGCUGGGGGUGUGCUGACGCUGAGACACGAAAGCCAGGGGAGCGAACGGG